rnacentral:rRNA from 1 species
CCUACGGGAGGCAGCAGUGGGGAAUAUUGCUCAAUGGGCGAAAGCCUGACGCAGCGAAGCCGCGUGAGGGAUGAAGGUCUUCUGAUCGUAAACCUCUGUCAGCAGGGAAGUACGGUCACUCUGCUAAUCAGCAUUGAAUUGACGGUACCUGCAAGGAAAGCACCGGCUAACUCCGUCCCAGCAGCCGCGGUAAUACGGCGGGUGCGAGCGUUAAUCGGAUUUACUGGGCGUAAGGCGCUCGUAGGCGGUAUGUCAAGUCAAGGGUGAAAGUGCCCGGCUCAACGUUGGAACUGCCGUUGAAACUGGCAAACUGGGGUGUGUGAGAGGAGAGUGGAAUUCCAGGUGUAGGAGUGAAAUCCGUAGAUAUCAGGAGGAACAUCAGUGGCGAAGGCGACUAUCUGUAACAUAACUGACGCUGAGGAGCGAAAGCGUGGGUAGCAAACAGGAUUAGAUACCCGAGUAGUC